UACGGGAGGCAGCAGUGGGGGAUAUUGCGCAAUGGGGGAAACCCUGACGCAGCAACGCCGCGUGAAGGAUGAAGGUCUUCGGAUUGUAAACUUCUUUUAUUAAGGACGAAGAAAGUGACGGUACUUAAUGAAUAAGCUCCGGCUAACUACGUGCCAGCAGCCGCGGUAAUACGUAGGGAGCAAGCGUUGUCCGGAUUUACUGGGUGUAAAGGGUGCGUAGGCGGCUUUGCAAGUCAGAUGUGAAAUCUAUGGGCUCAACCCAUAGCCUGCAUUUGAAACUGCAGAGCUUGAGUGAAGUAGAGGCAGGCGGAAUUCCCCGUGUAGCGGUGAAAUGCGUAGAGAUGGGGAGGAACACCAGUGGCGAAGGCGGCCUGCUGGGCUUUAACUGACGCUGAGGCACGAAAGCGUGGGUAGCAAACAGGAUUAGAUACCCUGGUAGUCCACGCUGUAAACGAUGAUUACUAGGUGUGGGGGGUCUGACCCCUUCCGUGCCGGAGUUAACACAAUAAGUAAUCCACCUGGGGAGUACGGCCGCAAGG
rnacentral:rRNA from 1 species